UACGGAGGUGGCAAGCGUUGCUCGGAAUCACUGGGCGUAAAGCGUGCGCAGGCGGUUGUGCAAGACCGGUGUGAAAUCCCCGGGCUUAACCUGGGAAUGGCAUUGGUGACUGCACGGCUAGAGUGUGUCAGAGGGGGGUAGAAUUCCACGUGUAGCAGUGAAAUGCGUAGAUAUCGGGAGGAACAUCAGUGGCGAAGGCGGCCUUCUGGUCCAGUACUGACACUCAAGUGCGAAAGCGUGGGGAGCAAACAGG
rnacentral:rRNA from 1 species